UACGUAGGGUGCAAGCGUUGUCCGGAAUUAUUGGGCGUAAAGAGCUCGUAGGCGGUCUGUCGCGUCUGCUGUGAAAACUCGGGGCUUAACCCCGGGCCUGCAGUGGGUACGGGCAGACUAGAGUGCGGUAGGGGAGACUGGAAUUCCUGGUGUAGCGGUGAAAUGCGCAGAUAUCAGGAGGGACACCGGUGGCGAAGGCGGGUCUCUGGGCCGUAACUGACGCUGAGGAGCGAAAGCGUGGGGAGCAAACAGG
rnacentral:rRNA from 1 species